UGUGAUAUCAGCUUGCACCAAUGGAAUGGAAUAGAACAGAAUGAAAAUGAAUGGACGUAAAUGGCUAGGAAUGGCACUCUGUAUAAUGGAAUGAAAUGGAAUAGUGUGGAACACAUUACGUGUAACAAUAGAAUGCUAUGGAUGGAAUAAAAGGAAAUAAAUGAGACUGGAAGGACGUUAGUGGUGGAGCCUGAGCCAUGCAUCGCUGUCCCAGACGAGUGCUCCGCAUGUCUCAUCUGAAUGCCCUCUGUUCCAGUGAAAUAAAAAAAUGCAGUCAACAGGAACUGAGCUAUAUCUGCUCUGAAUGAAGUCUGUGUGCUGCUGGUUUAGAAAGUUGUCACGAUAACAUCAGCCUGACUCCGCUCUGACUGCGGCAGGUGGGAGCCCAGGGGUCAGUCUGUGAGUGAGGCCUGAGUAAGGAGUGAAUCAGCGCUGCUUUUGAUUGACGGAGAGCUUGGUGGGAAACAAGACCUCAGGAGAGCGAGAGUCUGAUAACAGGACUGAAAGCGUCGCCACAGCAGUAUCAUCUUUCAGUCUUCACUGCCACUCGUCUUUCACAACAUGGCCUCUGCGGUAGCACUGUUCUCCUCUGUCGCUGCCUCUUUGGGGAUGUAGAAAGACACGGGACACACGGACACAUUCCUGCAUACUGCUACAGAGGAAAGCUUUGGAAGUGUCUUCAGACUUUAAAGUCCCUAACAGAUGGACAAACUGUGUUAAGCGUCAGUACUGUCAUCAUUACAACUACUGUUUCCUGGUUUGGGAAUCGUUUUAGUGUUUCAAAGGGACUCGUAGGACAAUGGAAGUUAUAGGAAGGUGCUGUCUCUGAUUUUAUAUGUUCCUGUGUAACAUCGAAGGCCAAUGCGUGUGGCUCGAGAGCCCAUCAUGGCCAGACCGCUGCUGAAGAUCCACCGCUAUUUCCGGUGUAAACCGGUACGCUUUUUCUCUUUCAUCCUCCUCUACCUCACUGCUGGCAGUCUUGUUUUCCUCCACUCCGGCUUCUCCAGCGACACU